CAGGCUUUGAAUCAGGUAGCGGCAGUUUAUUGAGAACAAUGUUCUCGAUCCCAAAAUGAGCUGCAUCGAUACGAGGCCGACCUACAACGGGCUAUUGACGAGAGGAACUCCUUUAGACUUUCCUUAGGGCAGAGAGAAGAGGAAAUAAAAGACCUCCGAGAUGAGCUGGCCAAGGCUUAUCAAGAUCAGACCGAUUUGUCUAAGCAGCUGCAGCAAAAAAUCGAGAUGAUCGGGAAGCUUCGUGAGGAGGUCGGCGUGAUAAGAAUGGAGUCUUUGCGGUGCCCAUCCAUAUACCAACUCGAAACCAAGAACGCGAAAGAAGGUAUGGACCGCUUUGCUGCAGAAAAAGAGACUGCUCGAGCCCAGUUAUCAUCGUCCGAAACCCAACUUCA